UACGUAGGUGGCAAGUGUUGUCCGGAAUCAUUGGGCGUAAAGCGCACGUAGGCGGACUUUUAAGUCAGGGGUGAAAUCCCGGGGCUCAACCCCGGAACUGCCUUUGAUACUGGAAGUCUUGAGUCCGAGAGAGGUGAGUGGAACUCCGAGUGUAGAGGUGAAAUUCGUAGAUAUUCGGAAGAACACCAGUGGCGAAGGCGGCUCUCUUGCUCGGUACUGACGCUGAGGUGCGAAAGCGUGGGGAGCAAACAGG
rnacentral:misc_RNA from 1 species